UAUAAAACCACUGAAUAUAUU
rnacentral:piRNA from 1 species